UACGGAGGGUGCAAGCGUUAAUCGGAAUUACUGGGCGUAAAGGGCGCGUAGGCGGCCACGACAAGUCACUUGUGAAAUCUCCGGGCUUAACUCGGAACGGUCAAGUGAUACUGUCGGGCUAGAGUGCAGAAGGGGCAACUGGAAUUCUCGGUGUAGCGGUGAAAUGCGUAGAUAUCGAGAGGAACACCUGCGGCGAAGGCGGGUUGCUGGGCUGACACUGACGCUGAGACGCGAAAGCGUGGGGAGCGAACAGG
rnacentral:rRNA from 1 species